CACGUAGGGCGCAAGCGUUGUCCGGAAUUAUUGGGCGUAAAGAGCUCGUAGGCGGCCUGUCGCGUCGGAUGUGAAAGCCCGGGGCUUAACUCCGGGUCUGCAUUCGAUACGGGCAGACUAGAGUGUGGUAGGGGAGAUCGGAAUUCCUGGUGUAGCGGUGAAAUGCGCAGAUAUCAGGAGGAACACCGGUGGCGAAGGCGGAUCUCUGGGCCAUUACUGACGCUGAGGAGCGAAAGCGUGGGGAGCGAACAGG
rnacentral:rRNA from 1 species